GCCUGGGUAGCUGAGUGGUUAGCGUGUCGAGCUACUAACUCGAGGCUCGCGGAUUCGAAUCUCCGCCUCGGAAG